rnacentral:misc_RNA from 1 species
CAGAGUUGCAAAACUCCCACAAACCAUCGCGAAUCUUACCCGUACGGUUGCCUCGGCGCUGGCGGUCCGGAAGGCCCUCGGGCCCCCCGAAUCCUCGGGUCUCCCGCUCGCGGGAGGCUGCCCGCCGGAGUGCCGAAACCAAACUCUUGAUAUUUUAUGUCUCUCUGAGUAGACUUUUAAAUAAGUCA